AACAAAGAAUUGCAGCAUAAUUAAUAUACACUUAGAUUUAGAUUAGUAGUUAGAAACCAUUUACUGAUACAUCUAAACCAAUCUUUAAUUUUUGUACAUCUCUUUGGCCCCUCUGUUCCAAAGGACAAAUCAGUGCUAACACUAAGCUAUUCAAUGUAUAGAUUCUCCAGCCCGUUUGCAAUGGCUUCCUUAGUUAGAAAGGUUUCAC